AUAUUUAAAAACACUUGUUAAGUAAAAGUACUAAUAUUUUAUUUUAAAAACACAAAGUCUUAGACAACACUUUUUUAUGUGAAUGUCUUUUAAAGUGUUUUUUUUUCUUCUAAAAAUAGUAUCAUCAAUAUGAACAAUUAUUAAUAACAAUGUCUUUUAAAGCACUUUCUUCUAAAAGUGAUGUCAAAUGUAUUACAAAGCGUUGUCAUAGGGAUAAGCAUGCAGAAAACUUCAAACCAUUAAGUUAUACUUUGUGAUAACAAAAACAAAUCGUCCUUGUUCGAUUUCUUAGGCUGCCUAAAACCCUUGUAAACCCAUUUCACCAUCUUCAAUUCUUUGGUGCGAACCUUAGCUUGCACACCCAUUCCAUCUACAAAAGCGUUGUUCUUCUCUAUGAACCCAAAACCCUCUCUGUGAAUCCAAAAAUCACGAACCCUUGUGAAUUCUACUUUUUUUUCCCCUUAACUUCGUCGUAGAAAACAACAAUCACUACCAACCUUUAUUCUCCAUUCCCUCAUUCCUUAUAUUGAUCAAGUCUGGUUCAACUCUCAAGUCAUCCUUAAGGUGUUGUCUCCAGCUGUGCUAAAUUUACAACAACUAUAUUUCAAACGCUCUGAUGAGUCUCUUCAACCAUUUUCUGGCUAUAAAUGAUUAUGGUGAUAACACUUGGUAUUUUGAAAGUCAUUUUAAUGAAGUUGUUGGAAAUGAUGAUGAUUUUAAUAAAAGUUUGUUGGAAAUAAUGAUGACAUUUAUGAGAGUUAGUGUUGUUGUGAAUUGAAAAAUAAAGAGAUCCCACAUAAGAGGGAUAUCACACACUAGUAGGGUGUAUAAGGUGGAGGUAUGGUACUUUGGGUGUGCUCCAAGGGAUACCCCAAUCUUGUAAAGAAAGGAGAAUGCAAGCAAAAUUGACCACCACACACGCGUGCUGCCGUCCGGCCGGGCCUGGGCCUGGCCUAGGCCUUGACUUUGGCUAUUUUUUAGCAUAUGAAAAUUAAUUAUUUAUUUAAUUGAAUAAAUGCUUGCACUUUUAUCUCUAAUUGAUAUGUUAAUUACAUAAUUACUCUCCACUGAGUCAACAUUCAACAUCUGAUCCAGUUCCUUGCCCCCCAACUUUGCGCUUAAGUUUUAUUGGUCAAAACCCUAAUUACUAGUCAUGUGCAUCUAUUAAUGUCUCAUGAAAUCCAGAAAAUUGCUCAAGAGAUUAUCUCUAAAGGCAUAAAACAAAACUCUCUAGAAAAUCUGAUAAUCCGUCUUAGAAAUGAGGAGGAAUCCCGAAAGCAAGACCAGAAAGAUGAAGUUCUUCUUGUGGCAAAUAACAAGAAAAAGAAAUUCAUUGGAGUAGUUUUGAAUCCAAACGACAAACAACUAAAGAAUCAGAACCGCACUUUAAAAACCAGCAACAAGAAUGGGAACCAUCCUAGGGUCCCAAUUAUAAGGCAGAAACCACCUCUUGGAAAUGACUC